rnacentral:rRNA from 1 species
UGGGGAAUUUUGGACAAUGGGGGCAACCCUGAUCCAGCAAUGCCGCGUGAGUGAAGAAGGCCUUCGGGUUGUAAAGCCCUUUCGGUGGGGAAGAAAAGCCUCGUUUUAAUACAACGGGGUCUUGACGUAACCCAAGAAAGAAGCACCGGCUAACUCUGUGCCAGCAGCCGCGGUAAUACAGAGGGUGCGAGCGUUAAUCGGAAUUACUGGGCGUAAAGCGCGCGUAGGCGGCUUUGCAAGUCGGGUGUGAAAUCCCCAGGCUUAACCUGGGAACUGCAUUCGAGACUGCAUUGCUAGAGUAUGGGAGAGGGAAGUGGAAUUUCAGGUGUAGCGGUGAAAUGCGUAGAUAUCUGAAGGAACAUCAGUGGCGAAAGCGACUUCCUGGACCAAUACUGACGCUCAUGUGCGAAAGCGUGGGGAGCAAA